UGCAGUGCUACACAGCACCUGUGCCCUUGCAGUGCACAAGAGCCACUCACUGCUCAGUGCUGGGGAGGUGGUAAGAGUUUUAUUUGGCCAGCUAAGACAGCAGGGACCUAGCAGAACGUUUUCAGUUCCAUGGCUGGUUUGUAUUUUUUGACUUGCAAACACCCCAUCAUAUAUCUACAAAUUACAUGCACAUGAAUGAUCACCUUCCUAGGAUAGGCAGCUUGUUCUUGUACCAUCUGAGCCUGGAACGGAGAGAAGGGGUAGGCAUUGGGAAUGGGCAGAGCUGCUGUGGCACAAAUCCUACCCCAGGACCCAGGUGGUUGCCCAAAGCAGAUGAUCUGGGCGAUGCUGGUGAGCUUGCCUUGCUGCUGGCUCUUUGAGAGCUGGCUGCAGCAUCAGGGGGAUGCUCUGGUAGCUGUUAGCUCUCUGCAUACUUACUGGUUUUCUUCAUGCCUCUGGCUCCGGAUUUGUAAUUCUCUCUUGUGAUGAGAUGGUCUAUGAUUUUUUUUUUUGUAUUUUAUUUUAUUUUUAACAAAGUUCUCAGCUGUUGUAGUGACAGGGAGAGCUUGGAAAAUAUGACUUUUAAAGGAUCAGCAGUCUGAAGGCCAAUAACCAGCCACAUGCAACCGUUCCACCCUGACACCUCUAUUACUAGCAUUUCAGUCUCUUGAUUUCUUGAGAUCUGACUCCUGGGUUCAGAGCACUUGGAAUAAUGCUCGUGUCACUCACUCACCUACUUCAGUGGAGUGGGAGGAGAGUGCUGAGUUACUGGAAUAGCUGUCUCUUCAAUACCUGGAAACAUUCUUUCUCUCUGCAUCACAGCCUAAUUUUGGAGUGCACCGUGUGAUGUAAAAUGAAGUUCAAGUUGCUAGUCAUCCCCAGGGCUCAAUUUUGUCAAGCCUUUAUAUGAGAAAAAGGAUCCGUAUGAGGCCUAAAAGGUGCUGCUUAUCUUUGCAGUAACCUGACUGGCAGCGUGUGUUUCCAGGACACGUUGAUAGAAAGUCAGAGCCGGGUUUGGUGUAGCACUCCCAUGCAGAGCUCCAGAUCAGACUGGAGCAGCUGGCGGACUUCCUGACAUCUGCCGCUGAUACCACCCGUGUGCGCUUUUAAGUCAGUAAUAUAAAGACAUCCUACUGACCUGCUAGCUUGGGUCUCCUCCCUGCUGUUAGAGGACACAUAAAAAUGAAGAGGCCUUUCUGUGUUUUUUAGCAUGACUUCUCUGAAAACACUAGAAGGAGCUUAAAAGAGAGUAAAUGUGACACCCGGUUCC